UUUUUUUAAAGCACUUAAUUCAGAGGCUAUGUUCAAUAUGCAUUUAUAAAGAUAGAACUAUUAUUUAGCGUUGUAGCCUGCAAACCAAAAAACGGUUCUUGAAGCUGAGUAGAUGGGAAAUCAAAUGGGGGGUGGGGGGGGCUUGAGAACGUAAAGGCUGACCACAUGGAGCUCAUACCUCCACCCUCCAUCCUCAGGAUGUGCAAUCACCUCAAGGAUGCAGGCUUCCAAGUUGUGAGUGACGAGUUCGGCCUCGUUGUUUUGUGGCUGUGUGCGUAGAGUUCUUCCAAUUAUAUGCAAGUUCCUCGUAUAUUUCAAAACCCCCCCUUGUUUCAUGUACAGGUGCCUGUGUGAAAAAUAGAUAUUCUUUUACAGCAAAUUUGAUUGUUUGAAAUCUGCUUCCAUAUAUGUGCCAUUUUUUUUUUCUGGUUCUUUUUUUUUUGUAACAUUUGCAAUGGUGUGUUAAGUUUUCUUCCAUCUAAUCUGUUUCGUCUAUUAAGCAGCAUGGUUUCCGCGCAAGGCUAAUGUAGACACUAUUUCAAUUUAAUUAUUAUUUUUUUAACAAACUACUUAAACUAAUUUCUUCAAAUAGUUGCGAUGGAAGCAAAACUCAUCGAAACACACUGCAUCCAGGGGCCCCUACCAGGAUAUUUUUUUUGUAUUUGUAGUGAUGUUAAUCACGUUAUGUGGGGGACUGAGGUAUUAAUGUACGGUUCAACAACUCUGAAAUCUGCUAUCGCCAAAGGUACACUACUCAGAUAUUCAGCAGGUGAAUGGCGAGCGCACAGACAGUCACCGGGGACGUUGUUGAUGUCAUAACCAGCUACCUGACACCGUGCUGGGUUUUGAGGAGCAUUUAGUGAAGAAAAGGCACUGCUGUAGCAGCCGAGUCACUUUGAGCGUGUGGUCGUACGGUGCGAGAGAAGCAAUCUUCAAAAGAUGAAAAUAAAUGCUGAAAUCGAUGCUUUUUCAUCCUCCAAUCGUCUGGAAAUGCUGGACUUUGUUGUGUGUUUGUGCUCAACUUAACUGCAGCCUCCUUUUAAACGGUCUUUGCCUCUUGUUGAAAUGUUUUGAUUUAAGGGGCUUUUUUUGUUUAACUCGUUGACAGCUGAGAGGUACAGUGUUUGAUUCCACACAUGACAAAUAAAGUUUUUAAAAAAGGGGCGACGUGUGUCUUUAAAAUGUUCAAUUAUGAAAAGUGGCGCUGAGUUGUGCCAAGUCGUUUCUAGUUUUGUUUGUUUUCUUUUUUUAUUCUGCUCCUUUAUCACUUUCACAUCUCUUGCCUCCCUAAAAUAUGAGGAAACAACACUACUUAAAUGUCUUAAAAGGAGUGUCACAUGUUUUUUUUUUUUUUUUUUUUUUUUUUUUUAAAGCAUGAUAACCCCCAAAUUCCAAACAAUGUAAUAGUCAACAUAUAUCUAUAUAGAUAUAUAUAACUUCUAGUGUUCACAAUUAUAGUUUCUAUUAAAAUAUCAAAAACAGGAUUUCUGUGUUUUGUGUAGUCUGUUCUCUGAUAGCAAGUGGAGCAUGUCGGCUAGUCAUCACAUUACAUGAUCACACAAGUAAAAUCUACAGAACUAGGCCUGAAGAUCAGGUUAAUAGCAGGACCGACCUUUGCUGCUUGAACUAAUGCAUCGGACCACAGCUAAAGCAAAUGAACUAUAUACAAUUCAGUAGAAACACUGUCCUUUUGAGGUGCUUAUGGUUUACUUCCUUGUUUACAUUUUGACUUAACAC
ensembl:lncRNA